GAUCAUGCCUCAGGAUGAACGCUAGCUACAGGCUUAACACAUGCAAGUCGAGGGGCAGCAUGGUCUUAGCUUGCUAAGGCCGAUGGCGACCGGCGCACGGGUGAGUAACACGUAUCCAACCUGCCGUCUACUCUUGGACAGCCUUCUGAAAGGAAGAUUAAUACAAGAUGGCAUCAUGAGUCCGCAUGUUCACAUGAUUAAAGGUAUUCUGGUAGACGAUGGGG
rnacentral:rRNA from 1 species